rnacentral:rRNA from 1 species
UGGUGGUGGUUGGUAGCUGGUGGGCUUCGGCCGACCAUGCUGCUGGCUGCUGCUGCUGCUGCUGCUGCUGCUGCCGCUGGCUGGUGACCUACCCCGUGGGCCGAUCUCAGGCUGGAGGCUCCCUGGCACCUCGUCCGCGUGGUGUCCAGUAGACGGGGUGAGAACCUUUCCCUCGCCUGCUGGCACGUGGUGGACACAUGGGGUGUCUUGUGGGUCGAAGGCCCCCUGCCUAAGUUUUGGUGGGUGCAUCUUUUGAAAGGAUGGGGGCGCAGGCCCGGGACUUGCCAGGACAGCGGCCGUGGCUCUGAGGGGGAGUGAUCCUCCGAGGGGUGGCGGUUGUUUUUCGUCGGUAAGUACCCUGAGCGGGCAUGUUAGGACCCGAAAGAUGGUGAACUAUGCCUGGCCAGGAUGAAGCCAGAGGAAACUCUGGUGGAGGUCCGCAGCGAUUCUGACGUGCAAAUCGAUCGUCGGAGCUUGGUAUAGGGGCGAAAGACUAAUCGAACCAUCUAGUAGCUGGUUCCCCCCGAAGUUUCCCUCAGGAUAGCUGGUACUCGGGAAAUGAGAGAAUGAAUUUCAUUCGGUAAAGCGAAUGAUUAGAGGUCUUGGGGACGAAACGUCCUCAACCUAUUCUCAAACUUUAAAUGGGUGAGAUGCCGAGCUUGCUUGAAUAAGAAUGAAGCUCUGGCAAUUAAUCAAAGAGUAUCUAGUGGGCCAUUUUUGGUAAGCAGAACUGGCGAUGUGGGAUGAACCAAACGUCGAGUUAAGGGGCCUAAAUGAAUGCUCAUAUAGAUCCCAUCGAAAGGCGUUGGUUGCUUAAGACAGCAGGACGGUGGCCAUGGAAGUUGGAAUCCGCUAAGGAGUGUGUAACAACUCACCUGCCGAAGCAACUAGCCCUUAAAAUGGCAUGGCGCUCAAGCAUUCUCCCGAUACUCGACCGCUGGGGCACUACAGGCUACCCGUUACUAUGAGGAGUCUCGAAGCCCCAGUGAGUAGGGGGGUCGCAGGGGUGAGCGUAGAAGGGAUCCGGCGUAGGCCGGCCGGAGCCGC